AUGCGCCACGGCACCGCCUCCCACCUUCGGCGAUGCCCCACGGCCCUGCCUCCCAUCUCCGGCGACGCGCCAUCCCUGAACCCCGCCUCCCAUCUCCUUCGACGCGCCGUCCUGAACCCUGCCUCCUCUCUCGCGUCGCCCCCAUUGGCCCCCGAGCGCGGCCGUCCCUCCCACGGAGCCAAGCUCACGGCCGUCACUUCCACCACGCCGAGCUCGCACUCCAUCGCCGCUGGCGCCCCCAACCUCGCGUCAUCCAUGACCCCUCCAUUACACUCCUAUUCUGCAGGAACAUGUCAGUUCGUGUGGAGCAUAACAGUCCGUCAGUUCGUCGGUGGGAUUCGCAGGAUCCGCAGGGGAGUUAAGCUCUACGACCACUUGGAUGUGGAUGCUCAUGCUCCUCCACUGGGCGAGCUCCAAGGGCACCACGGGCUUGAGAUUGUCAUCUCUACCCUCGGCCGCGAGGGCCAAGAGGCUGCCUGCACCCUGCUAAAUGAAAUGCUACUUCCGACCACCAGCUCGCCUGAUGCCCGUUAUUGGUUUCCUCUUGAGCAGAUGAACCACAUUGUCACAUUAAACUACGGGGACAUGUUCCCUCAGUCCUCUCUCGACAAAUCCAACAGUACAGGUUCUCCGUCCAAGAAGGAUUGGCCGGUGCUGCCGGCUGGCGUCAAGUUCGAUCCCACGGAUCAGGAGCUGAUCGAGCACCUUGAGGCCAAAGUGAGUGCUGACAGCGCGAGAUCUCACCCUCUCAUCGAUUUGUUCAUACCAACCAUCGACAGUGAGCACGACAUAUGCUACACCCAUCCUGAGAAACUUCCAGGUAUCACACUGAGUGGCCUAAGCAAGCAUUUCUUCCAGUGCAACUCCAGGGCGUUCAAAAGGGGCACGUGGACGCGUCGCAAGAUACAGUCGGAGUGGGGCAUGCACACGAUGUGGCACAAGACCGGCAAUACCUUGCCGGUGAUGGUCAGUGGCCAACAGACGGGCAGCAAAAAGGUUCUGGUGCUGCACAACAAUAAGAACUUCGACCAGCUGAGGACCAAUUGGGUGAUGCACUAG
rnacentral:rRNA from 1 species